UUUCUCUCCCCCUGUUUAGAGGGGGGAAACUCCAAACUGUACCUAGAUAAAACCAGAUAAAAAAUCAUUUUAAACUUCAGAUUUAUAACUACAUUUUUUUUUAAUUAUUAACUUUUAUGCAUCCCGUUUUUGUAACUAAUGGGCUAGUAAUAUAAAAAAAUGGGCUUUCUUAGUGGAGGAAUGUUACCCCAAUGUUUGGUUUAGUCCAUGUGCUUAGGGCCAUCAACAGGUAAAGUCCUUCCAGAACUCUUCCAGACAGUUAAUUUCUUUUAUUUACUGUUACAUAAUAAACCUGUAGUGACAAAUUGUUGAAAUCAGGAAAAAACAUAAGUAUCAUGGAUCCAAACAAGAAGAAAAGAGCAGGAAAUUGAAGAUUUCUUUAGAAGAUAUUUCCAAGCAGAUUCAGUUGAUUCAGAGCUCAUCAAGACAGCAUAGAAAAUGUGAAUCUCCACUGAAAGAUCAUGGCUUUUGGGCAGGGCUGUGCACAGUCCUAGGAGUACCCAAUACAUCAACAAAUAGGUACAGACUAAGAAGAGAACACUUCAGCCACUGUAAGGUACAGGUCAAACCUUGUAUAUAACAGUUUCUAUAGGUGUAAUAUGCAAAUGUAUUUUUUCCUGUCAUGUUCUUCCUCAUAAAAUGUUUUGAAGCAACCAGGGUAUAGCAAUAAAAAUUAUAAAAGGGAAAAUCUGUUAGGCUAU
rnacentral:lncRNA from 1 species